GAUGAACGCUGGUGGCGUGCCUAAUACAUGCAAGUCGAGCGAACGGACGAGAAGCUUGCUUCUCUGAUGUUAGCGGCGGACGGGUGAGUAACACGUGGAUAACCUACCUAUAAGACUGGGAUAACUUCGGGAAACCGGAGCUAAUACCGGAUAAUAUUUUGAACCGCAUGGUUCAAAAGUGAAAGACGGUCUUGCUGUCACUUAUAGAUGGAUCCGCGCUGCAUUAGCUAGUUGGUAAGGUAACGGCUUACCAAGGCAACGAUGCAUAGCCGACCUGAGAGGGUGAUCGGCCACACUGGAACUGAGACACGGUCCAGACUCCUACGGGAGGCAGCAGUAGGGAAUCUUCCGCAAUGGGCGAAAGCCUGACGGAGCAACGCCGCGUGAGUGAUGAAGGUCUUCGGAUCGUAAAACUCUGUUAUUAGGGAAGAACAUAUGUGUAAGUAACUGUGCACAUCUUGACGGUACCUAAUCAGAAAGCCACGGCUAACUACGUGCCAGCAGCCGCGGUAAUACGUAGGUGGCAAGCGUUAUCCGGAAUUAUUGGGCGUAAAGCGCGCGUAGGCGGUUUUUUAAGUCUGAUGUGAAAGCCCACGGCUCAACCGUGGAGGGUCAUUGGAAACUGGAAAACUUGAGUGCAGAAGAGGAAAGUGGAAUUCCAUGUGUAGCGGUGAAAUGCGCAGAGAUAUGGAGGAACACCAGUGGCGAAGGCGACUUUCUGGUCUGUAACUGACGCUGAUGUGCGAAAGCGUGGGGAUCAAACAGGAUUAGAUACCCUGGUAGUCCACGCCGUAAACGAUGAGUGCUAAGUGUUAGGGGGUUUCCGCCCCUUAGUGCUGCAGCUAACGCAUUAAGCACUCCGCCUGGGGAGUACGACCGCAAGGUUGAAACUCAAAGGAAUUGACGGGGACCUGCACAAGCGGUGGAGCAUGUGGUUUAAUUCGAAGCAACGCGAAGAACCUUACCAAAUCUUGACAUCCUUUGACAACUCUAGAGAUAGAGCCUUCCCCUUCGGGGGACAAAGUGACAGGUGGUGCAUGGUUGUCGUCAGCUCGUGUCGUGAGAUGUUGGGUUAAGUCCCGCAACGAGCGCAACCCUUAAGCUUAGUUGCCAUCAUUAAGUUGGGCACUCUAAGUUGACUGCCGGUGACAAACCGGAGGAAGGUGGGGAUGACGUCAAAUCAUCAUGCCCCUUAUGAUUUGGGCUACACACGUGCUACAAUGGACAAUACAAAGGGCAGCGAAACCGCGAGGUCAAGCAAAUCCCAUAAAGUUGUUCUCAGUUCGGAUUGUAGUCUGCAACUCGACUACAUGAAGCUGGAAUCGCUAGUAAUCGUAGAUCAGCAUGCUACGGUGAAUACGUUCCCGGGUCU
rnacentral:rRNA from 1 species